CACGUAGGGCGCAAGCGUUGUCCGGAAUUAUUGGGCGUAAAGAGCUCGUAGGCGGUCUGUUGCGUCCGCUGUGAAAACCCGGGGCUUAACCCCUGGCUUGCAGUGGAUACGGACAGACUAGAGGUAGGUAGGGGAGAAUGGAAUUCCCGGUGUAGCGGUGAAAUGCGCAGAUAUCGGGAGGAACACCGGUGGCGAAGGCGGCCGCCUGGACCUGACCUGACGCUGAGGCGCGAAGGCGUGGGAGCGAACGGG
rnacentral:rRNA from 1 species